rnacentral:rRNA from 1 species
AACGAACGCUGGCGGCAGGCUUAACACAUGCAAGUCGAGCGCCCCGCAAGGGGAGCGGCAGACGGGUGAGUAACGCGUGGGAACGUACCCUUUGCUACGGAAUAGCUCCGGGAAACUGGAAUUAAUACCGUAUGUGCCCUACGGGGGAAAGAUUUAUCGGCAAAGGAUCGGCCCGCGUUGGAUUAGCUAGUUGGUGGGGUAAUGGCCUACCAAGGCGACGAUCCGUAGCUGGUCUGAGAGGAUGAUCAGCCACAUUGGGACUGAGACACGGCCCAAACUCCUACGGGAGGCAGCAGUGGGGAAUAUUGGACAAUGGGCGCAAGCCUGAUCCAGCCAUGCCGCGUGAGUGAUGAAGGCCUUAGGGUUGUAAAGCUCUUUCACCGGAGAAGAUAAUGACGGUAUCCGGAGAAGAAGCCCCGGCUAACUUCGUGCCAGCAGCCGCAGUAAGAC